rnacentral:rRNA from 1 species
CCUACGGGAGGCAGCAGUGAGGAAUAUUGGUCAAUGGACGAGAGUCUGAACCAGCCAAGUAGCGUGAAGGAUGACUUCCCUAUGGGUUGUAAACUUCUUUUAUAUGGGAAUAAAAUGUUCCACGUGUGGGAUUUUGUAUGUACCAUAUGAAUAAGGAUCGGCUAACUCCGUGCCAGCAGCCGCGGUAAUACGGAGGAUCCGAGCGUUAUCCGGAUUUAUUGGGUUUAAAGGGAGCGUAGGUGGAUUGUUAAGUCAGUUGUGAAAGUUUGCGGCUCAACCGUAAAAUUGCAGUUGAAACUGGCAGUCGUGAGUACAGUAGAGGUGGGCGGAAUUCGUGGUGUAGCGGUGAAAUGCUUAGAUAUCACGAAGAACUCCGAUUGCGAAGGCAGCUCACUGGACUGCAACUGACACUGAGGCUCGAAAGUGUGGGUAUCAAACAGGAUUAGAUACCCCAGUAGUC